rnacentral:rRNA from 1 species
UGAGGAAUAUUGGUCAAUGGACGCAAGUCUGAACCAGCCAAGUAGCGUGCAGGAUGACGGCCCUAUGGGUUGUAAACUGCUUUUAUAUGGGGAUAAAGUGGGGAACGUGUUCCCUUUUGCAGGUACCAUAUGAAUAAUGACCGGCUAAUUCCGUGCCAGCAGCCGCGGUAAUACGGAAGGUUCGGGCGUUAUCCGGAUUUAUUGGGUUUAAAGGGAGCGUAGGCCGUUUGGUAAGCGUGUUGUGAAAUGUAGGAGCUCAACUUCUAGAUUGCAGCGCGAACUGUCAGACUUGAGUGCGCACAACGUAGGCGGAAUUCAUGGUGUAGCGGUGAAAUGCUUAGAUAUCAUGAAGAACUCCGAUUGCGAAGGCAGCUUACGGGAGCGCAACUGACGCUGAAGCUCGAAGGUGCGGGUAUCGAACAGG